rnacentral:rRNA from 1 species
CGGACGGGUGAGUAAUGUCUGGGAAACUGCCCGAUGGAGGGGGAUAACUACUGGAAACGGUAGCUAAUACUGCAUAACGUCGCAAGACCAAAGAGGGGGACCUUCGGGCCUCUUGCCAUCGGAUGUGCCCAGGUGGGAUUAGCUAGUAGGUGGGGUAACGGCUCACCUAGGCGACGAUCCCUAGCUGGUCUGAGAGGAUGACCAGCCACACUGGAACUGAGACACGGUCCAG